AAAGGGAAGUGUGUUUAUGCCUAUGGGGACAGACGUCAGAGACAGCGCAGCCCUGUGGCAGAUGGCCUGUCCUUUCCUCUGCUGCCCAGCGGAGCCCUGCGGCCCAGGGGUUCAGGCAGAGCCCGGGAGGAGGGCCUCUGCAGAUGAAGACCAAGGGAAGAGCUGUGAGGGAGGGGCCCCGGCAGGGCUGGAGGAGGAGCAGGCUGAGGAAAUCACCCACGGGAGCUAAGGGGCCUCUGGACACUCGGCAGGGCCCGGAGCGGUGGAAGAAAAGGCUGCGGGUUCUGACAAAGCCCAGGGCACUGAGCCCGCAACUGCUGCCAUCCCAGGCAGGGGCACCACCCUGCCCCGCCCAGCCUUGGCCAGUCCUGACACCCAGGCCCCUGGAGACAGCGGCUCACGCAAGCGGGUGUCCCGCGCUCCCCCAGCAGAUAGGAGACCAGACCACGAGCGCUGAGGGGAAAGUAGCCUGACUGGCCGGUUACCUGGACAUACGGCGUGGGGACGUGGGAAAGGGAGGAUUCGGGAUGACGGCUGGGCUUUGGGUAGGAGAGGAGAACCCGGAGACCAGGACACAGGUCACCAUGGUGGGCAGUACGUGGUCACGGCCCAGUCCCUGGGCCACAGAGCCAGCCGUCUGCACCCAGGCUGUUGUGGUCCAGUGACUUUAAAGUGGGAGGCAACGUGACAGAGGGUCCCUCGGUUUCCCCAUCCCUAGACUGGCUGGGGCAGUAGUACCUCCUUCAUCGUGUUGGGAGCUUUAAAUGAGAUGAUCUGUGUAAGGUCCAUGGCCCAGUGCCUGGCAUGUGGAGAAUGCUCAAGAAAGGGUACCCAUUGCUGUUGUCUUUAUGGAAACGUCAAGUGCCCACUUUGGCUGUGGCCAGAGGGUUCACAGGAUGGUGAACUCCCUAUAUCUGAUGUGAAAGUGACGACAAGCCGCUGACACCAGGCAAUCCUUCUAACUCAAUGAGACAAACAAGCGCUCAACCACUUGAGAAAUUAAACGCAGACUGCCUGGUACGUCUGCAGCCUCAGGAAGCCUGCCUGCUCCUCUGCAAACAGCUACCACACCACCAGCGAACCGGGCACCUGAGAUUCGGGAAGCACUGGCCCUGGGCCACUGUCAACUACGAAAACAAAGGAAAAAUGGGGACGUUCUGCCUAGAAGCCCUUCGUAAACUACAGAGCCUACAGAGCUGCAGCUUGGUCACUGAGAGUCCAUCUGGGUGUCCAGCCCUCGGGUGUUUCAAGCCCAUGACACUCGGCCUCCCGGCACCAGCCCCUCCUGGCCUCUCUGGCUCGCCUGGGGCUCAGAGUCUCUUCUAGGGCACAGUGUGGUGUGACAGACGUGCUUAGCUCUGCCCCGGAGGUCAGGUGUGAACCUGGACAAGCAUCUUUCCCUCUCUGGGACUCAGUUUCCCCAUAUGUACCACAGCAAGUGAUCUCAAGGUCCCACCCACUUGCACAGCCCUUGAUUUACAAAGGAUUUGGUUUGCAUUUCCUUACUGAGUCAGACUUGGGCAGGACAGAGAUUCACAAAUGGAGAAAGUGAGGCCUUGCUGGCCCACAACUGUAAUCCAGGUCUCUGGCCGGUCCAGUGCUCUCUUCAGCAACCGCCAUCCUGGGACAGGCUAAGGACCACAGAGCUGGGCACUCCCCGCAGCCUCAGCACGGGCACCUAUAGGCUGCACCGACACCCACUUGGCAAGGACGACUUCCUGUGGCCUCCGAUCUGCAGGGCCUCACCUCAGCAAACGGCGAUCCAGACUCCGCUCUCACCUCCCCCCUCGGCUGCCAGCCCCAGGCCCCGGCCGCUCACUCCCCUGGCCUUUGCUUGACCCAAGUCCUAGCCUGAACCCAGGAGGACUCUCUCCUCUCACCCCCAGUUGGCCUCCAGCCCCGAGGCAGGCUCACGCCUCAGCAAAGCUAGGCCCACAGCAGCGGAAGCCAGAGGAGGACACAUAGGAUGGGGGGUGUGGAGGCAGCUGGUGCUCCCUGCCCACAGCCCAUCACCACUGGGACCUCCCCCAGCUGCUCCCCCUCGGAGCCCUGUCUCCCUGAGUCCCCUGAGGCACUUUCAGCGGUCUCGGCUAGAUGAGAGCAGCUGGGUCACUGGGCCAAGCUCUCCACCCCUCCCUCUCGGUUGGGUAGGAAGAAUGCCCACUAUUGGGCCUGCUCGGCCACCAGCACCAGCAGGAAGCCAGACCACUAUGCUCAGCCUGCGUGGAGAGCAGCUCUGGGUGCAGGGCCUGGGGCCGCAGGCGUGGAGGUGCAACAGGGGAGGGACUAACGUGGAGCACCCACGGUUGUGGGACUCCAAAGAAAGGUGAGGUCACUCUUCUGCAGCAUGAACCCUACCGCGCUUCCCGUGGGCGGGACCCUGCCUGGCCAGCAGGCCGAGCUCUCCUGGCUGCUCGGCACAGGCUUCCUCUGGCCCAGCCAGGCAGCCUUCCCCCAGAGCGGGGCUCCUUCCCACCAGGCACACCCCACACAGAGCUCCCAGCAGCCAGCAGCCCCUUCCAGCCUCCUCCCCUCCUGCCCCACCAGCCCGGCCUCCGAGGGCCUUCAAUCUAGGCUGGCCCCAACUCUUCUUCCCACAGCUGGUACAGUUUUCUUUCUACCCAGAGCCCGUCUUGGGCCCCCAGCCCGAAUGGCUUUCUGCCUUCCAAGCCCUAGCUCCCCUCUCUGGUGUGGCGAGCAGAACUCUCUCCCGAGGACGUGCCCGGGGAUCCAGAGGCUGUCACAUCCCCUUAGUGGGGCUGUAGGGCAGGUGACAAGGAGCCAAGCCGGCCUUGUGGCCUGGGCAGAAACGGCCCUUCCGGGAACCAACUUAUACACCCCUUCCUGACUGUUGGGAAAUGAUCUACAACUUCCUCCAAGAAGUCCAAAGUCCAAGUUCAAAAGCAGUUCUGAAGGGAUGUGGGGCUGAAAUGAAUUAUCAAACACCUCCCACAAGGGCCAAGGCCAAGGCUUGACCUGAGCAAGCCGCUGGGCCCUGAGGGCCCUCUGGCAGCCUGGCCCGGGUCUCGCCCUGCCGCCUACACUCUGCCCUGGCCACCCCAGGCGACUCUCAGCUCCACUCCCUGCCCUCAGGCCUCUGCACAUGUUGUUCUCCUUACUGGAAUACUAUCCCCUCCCCUCCCAGUCAGUCUGGAUAACUCAUAUGUUUGUCCAUGCGUUCAUUCAACAAAAGUUCCAAGGGCCUCUUCUGUGCACUAGGCCUGGGGCUGGAUGCCAGGGACAGCUACGGCCCAGGCAGCUUAGGAAGGCCCCUGUUCUCAGGCGGCUUGUGUUCUGGGGCACAGACAAUGGACAGGUAAUGACUUGGAUAAAAAGGGCAUCCAAUGGUGGGGCCCUUGCAGGCAGCAUCUGGGGAGGUCGGGGAAGGCGGCCCUGAGGCCAUGGCCUCUGCGCGUGAGGAGCCAGGGAAGGAGGCUGAGGGAUUUGCUGGGAAAGGAGAAAUCGAGGGAGGAACAAGCCUGUGCCAGGGUGUGUGUGAAGCCAGUCACGAGCCCCGAUCAUCCUCUGGAUCUCAGUAAGAUUAAAACGUCACUCCUGGGCUUCCCUGGUGGCGCAGUGGUUGAGAGUCUGCCUGCCAGUGCAGGGGA